UCCUGGAAAUAGAAGCCUGUGUUUGGGCUUCUGAUCCUGUUCUCUUUCUUCCAGAUCUCAGGAGUUCUGGGCUGCAGUGCGCUAUGCCGAUCAGGUGUCCGCACUAAGUUCGGCAUCAAUAUGGUGACCUCCCGGGAGCGGGGGACCACCAGGUUGCCUAAGGAGGGGUGAACCGGCCCAGGUCGGAAACGGAGCAGGUCAAAA